rnacentral:rRNA from 1 species
UACGUAGGGUGCGAGCGUUUAAUCGGAAUUACUGGGCGUAAAGCGUGCGCAGGCGGUUUUGUAAGACAGAUGUGAAAUGCCCGGGCUUAACCUGGGAACUGCAUUUUGUGACUGCAAGGCUAGAGUUUGGCAGAGGGGGGGUAGAAUUCCACGUGUAGCAGUGAAAUGCGUAGAUAUGUGGAGGAAUACCGAUGGCGAAGGCAGCCCCCUGGGUCAAGACUGACGCUCAUGCACGAAAGCGUGGGGAGCAAACAGG